rnacentral:rRNA from 1 species
CCUACGGGGGGCAGCAGUGGGGAAUAUUGCGCAAUGGGCGAAAGCCUGACGCAGCGACGCCGCGUGAGGGAUGAAGGUCUUCGGAUCGUAAACCUCUGUCAGCAGGGAAGAACGGUCACUGUACUAAUCAGCAGUGAAUUGACGGUACCUGCAAAGACAGCACCGGCUAACUCCGUGCCAGCAGCCGCGGUAAUACGGAGGGUGCGAGCGUUAAUCGGAAUUACUGGGCGUAAAGAGCUCGUAGGCGGUAUGUCAAGUCAAGGGUGAAAUCCCCGCGCUCAACGUGGGAACUGCCUUUGAAACUGGCAAACUUGAGUGUAUGAGAGGUGAGUGGAAUUCCAGGUGUAGAGGUGAAAUGCGUAGAUAUCUGGAGGAACAUCAGUGGCGAAGGCGACUAUCUGGCACAUAACUGACGCUGAGGAGCGAAAGCGUGGGUAGCAAACAGGAUUAGAUACCCCUGUAGUC